rnacentral:rRNA from 1 species
AUUGAACGCUGGCGGCAUGCCUUACACAUGCAAGUCGAACGGUAGAGGGGGCGACCCCUUGAGAGUGGCGAACGGGUGAGUAAAGCAUCGGAACGUGCCCAGUAGUGGGGGAUAGCCCGGCGAAAGCCGGAUUAAUACCGCAUACGACCUACGGGUGAAAGGGGGGGAUCGCAAGACCUCUCGCUAUUGGAGCGGCCGAUGUCAGAUUAGGUAGUUGGUGGGGUAAAGGCCUACCAAGCCGACGAUCUGUAGCUGGUCUGGGAGGACGACCAGCCACACUGGGACUGAGACACGGCCCAGACUCCUACGGGAGGCAGCAGUGGGGAAUUUUGGACAAUGGGCGCAAGCCUGAUCCAGCCAUGCCGCGUGCGGGAAGAAGGCCUUCGGGUUGUAAACCGCUUUUGUCAGGGAAGAAAUCCUUUGAGCUAAUACCUCGGGGGGAUGACGGUACCUGAAGAAUAAGCACCGGCUAACUACGUGCCAGCAGCCGCCGUAAGAC